rnacentral:rRNA from 1 species
AUUGAACGCUGGCGGCAGGCCUAACACAUGCAAGUCGGGCGAGCGGCGGACGGGUGAGUAAUGUAUGGGGAUCUGCCUGAUGGCGGGGGAUAACUACUGGAAACGGUAGCUAAUACCGCAUACCAUCAGAUGUGCCCAGAUGGGAUUAGCUAGUAGGUGGGGUAAUGGCUCACCUAGGCGACGGUCCCUAGCUGGUCUGAGAGGAUGACCGGCCACACUGGAAGUGAGACACUGUUCAGAGUGGUACGGGAGGCGGCGAUGGCAAAUAUGGCGCAAUGGGGGCGAGCCUACUGCGGGGACACGGCGUGGGGGAUGGAGGCGUACGGGUUGUAAACCUCUUUCGCUGUCGAUCGGUUAGGUGGAGAAGAAGCGCCGGCUAACUACGUGCCAGCAGCCGCGGUAAUAC